GUCCUUUAGAUAUUAAUUUAAGGUCUAACCUGCCCACUGAAAUAUUUUAAAUGGCCGCAGUAAUUUGACUGUGCAAAGGUAGCAUAAUCAUUAGUUUUUUAAUUAAAAGCUUGUAUGAAAGGUUGGACGAAGUAAAAUCUGUCUCUAAUUAAAUUAAUUUAGAAUUUAACUUUUAAGUUAAAAGGCUUAAAUUUAACUAAAAGACGAGAAGACCCUAUAGAUCUUUAUAUUUUUAUUAUUAAAUUUAAUUAAGAAUUUUUAAAAUUUUAUUAAUUUAAAUAUUUUAUUGGGGUAAUAUAAAGAUUUAAAUAAUUCUUUUUUUUUAUUAACAUUAAUUUAUGAUUUUUAUGAUCCAAUUAUAUUGAUUUUAAGAUUAAGUUACCUUAGGGAUAACAGCGUAAUUUUUUUAGAGAGUUCUUAUCGAUAAAAAAGUUUGCGACCUCGAUGUUGGAUUAAAGAUUAUUUUAGGUGCAGAAGCUUAAAAAUUUUGGUCUGUUCGACCAUUAAAUCUUUACAUGAUCUGAGUUCAGACCGGUGUAAGCCAGGUCGGUUUCUAUCUUUAGUAAAUUAAAAUAUUUCAGUACGAAAGGACCAAUUAUUUAAUAUAAAUAUUUAUAUUUUGAUUAUUAUUAA
rnacentral:rRNA from 2 species